rnacentral:misc_RNA from 1 species
GGCCGGCUGUCGUUUAUUUAAAUGAGAAUUAUCCCAAUUCGUAAUCUUAGUGAUGUGGUUUGACCAAUUCUUCCGAAUUUCUUGAAAUUAGAAAUUUUUGUAACCCUUAGUGGUAAGACAUUCCAUUUUUCUUUUUUUAAUAAUCACUGAAUGCACAUCUUGUAGAUUUUAUUAUAUCUAUUGAUGAUGUCCGUGAAAUAUUGUUCCAAUCAUUUCCUUUGCUAUUUGUGUCACUAAAAUAUUUUUAGAUUAUUUUGUUAAGGAAGGAGUAUUUUCUGGUUUUCGACUUGUCAAAAGUAGAUUCGAUUAAAUGGUCAUUAAAUCAAGAUGAAAGGAUAUUAAAAAAAUAUUUUUCCUUCUGUUCUACUAUCAUACAACUUGGCAUAGAAAUAGUAAUCAAAGUUUUGAAUCUAACAAGGACUCUAUUUUUGGCGGAAAAUUGGCAUAGGAAAAUAUCACAAUUUUUUGGGAAAUCAGAAAUGCUGUAUAUUUAUGAGUCUAUUCAGCAUUUCUAUUUAGCAUUUUCAAAACAUUAACAUUGGAUUUUUUCAACAAAUGAUAAUGUACUUUGGUUUCUGAAUAUGUUUUUAUAAUAUGAUUUGCCUAUCAAUUUACAUUUUAAUAGCUUUUUUAAUCAUUUUUUUUUACAUAGAUUUGUGCGAAAAAUCACUAAAAUUAGAUUUUCUCCCUUAAUAAAAGGUU